CUUAAUCCUCAAAUAGUUUUGUAAUAUUUGGCAAGACGUGUCAAUUAAUUUUAAAAAGAAAAGUGAAUGAUGUGAUAGCAGUUUGUUUGAUAUUGUUAGAAAUAGACAUGUUUAUAUGGACAAAGAAGUGUUGGCCUUCUAUUUUGCUUUUGGUAGAUGAUCUGGGUAUUUUUCUGCGGAGCUUAAACAGUCAUUUUUUCAGCUUGGUAUCACCCCUCAGAUCAUUGCAUCCAUAAUUAUGCAGGUACUCUGUCAUAUUGUUCCAUCCUUAGUGAAGUUGCGGAAGGAGGGAUUGGAUGGUAACGAGAAGAUUAAGAGUUAUAUGUGUGUCUAUUUUUUCCUCUCAAGAAAUGGUGGAUUUCACUUGGCUUUGCAAUACUAGAAACUAUUAUAGUUGCUUGCUAUUCUCUUCUUUAUUCA